CAAGUACGAAUAAUGAUAGCCCCUUACAUUUUAUGUUGACAGUUUACAAAGUACUUCUCAGAUCUCUUACUCACUUGACCUUCACCAGGAAUCCUAUGAGAUAGGAAUAAUUCUCCACGUUUUGCUGAUAUGAAACUGAGACUCAGAGAGUUAACAGAGCCCUAACCAGUAAGCUGGGCAGCAGCAUGGAAUAAUAGAAAGACCACUAGCCUGGAGGCCAGGAGACUUUGCUUGUAUGGCAUGAUUUCAUUUGUGACUCUGUCAUCUUGAGUCUCCAAACCAGUGAACAUGCCAAGUUUUAUGCCUUCUCAACCAGGUUGAAGCAUUCAGCAAUGAGAAUGAGACCUUGGUGUUUCAGUUUUCAGUAAAACACAAGCAAAGGAAGUAUUGUGGUGGCGGAUAUGUAAAACUCUUUCCUGCCACCCUGAACCAGGAGGAUAUGCACUCAGGAUCCAAGUAUCACAUCAUGUUUGGCUGGGGACAGAGUGGGCCAGACAUGGCCUUUGACUUCACAGAACUCACAGUCAAUGAAGGUAAGAGUCAAGCAAAGUGACUACCUAGUAUGCUGGGCAUCUGUGGGAGCACAGAAGAGGACCCCUACCCAACCUGGAGGCUAAGGAAAUACUUCUUAGAUCAAUAAAGACCCUCACCUGUACACUCUGAUUAUUCGCCCCAAUGCUACUUAUGAGGUUAAAAUUGACAACCAGCAGGUGGCAGCUGGGGCUCUGGAGGAGGACUGGGACUUCUUGCCUCCCAGGAAAAUAAAAGACCCUACGCCCAGAAACCAAAGAAAUGGGAUGAACGCCUGCACAUAGAGGAUCUGGAAGACAAGAAACCUGACAUCAGAGGGCAUUUGGCUGGGAAGCAGGUGGGAUCUCAGCUGUGGAGAUAGGAGAAGGAGGCUGGGAAUGAUGGAGCAGAGACUGGGGACAUCAAUCCCUCAAGGAGUUGUUCAGCUAGAUAUUGUUUUCCAAAGAGGCAUGGAGGGAAGAGGGCAGCCACUCACCUUUGUUGGGGAUCCAGCAGCCUCUGUGAACAAUGUGUUAUGAUCCCUCUUUUGUGGAUAAGGAAACUGAUGCUUAGAAAAUGAAGUAACUUGCCCAAGCAUACAUGCGUUAGAACCAAGAUUUGAACCUACAUCUUUUUGACUCUUAAGUUAUCAAUAUGGGGAAUGUGUGGAGUAUACUCAUUGGCUCAUUAUUAUUAUUCUGGAAAGCUGUACUGGAUAUAGCUAUGAAUAGAACAACCCUUGCCCUCUAGGGAUUCUGAAUAUAGUAAGGGAGGCAGAUAAGAAAACAAAGAUCAAAAUAUGUGAUCAGUGCUGAGAGCCAGGGAGGCAAGCCAGUGAGAGCCCAAAAGCGGAUCCCAGCCCAGCCUGAGUUGAGGUGUAGGCAGUGGUCUGAGAAAGAGAAGGAAAUGCUUGAGUGAGUGAGUUAACCUAGGAGUUGGAAACAUAAACUCUGGGGUCAGGCUGAUAUGGGUUGGAGCACCACCUUUUUCUAACUAUGGGACCCCAUCCUACUAGCAGUUAACUCUGCACAAGGAAUAUAACUGCUGUGAAAGUCAACUUCACAAACAGGUAUUAUUUUAAUACUUACGUGUGAAGGUUACUGUGAAGAUUAAAUGAGCUAAUAAAAAAUACAUAAUGUAGUGUCUGGUAUAUAGGAAGUCCUUAAUGUAUGGCCUUUAUAUGUUAAUAAUAUGCUGAAUUUCAAAUAAUAGAUUUAUUAGAGAAAAGUAAGAGGGAAACUGGGGUGGAGGGAAGACAUUCCAGACUCAGGGAACAGCAGGAGCAAAGGCACAGUGGUUAGUUAGGAAAUAACAUGGUGUGUAAAAAACUGACAGCAGUAGUUCAGUAUUUGGGGAACAUAAGGUUCAAGGUGGGGCAUGGUAGGAGAUAAGGUUGGAAAGGUCUGUUGGAGCCAGGCCAGGAAGGGCCUCACCCACCACAUUGCUACUCUGCAGGUCAGAGCAGAGUCAGUGUCAUGCAGAAGAGAUGCUUGAGGUCAGGCAGGGGUCAGCAUGGGACCAGGUAACUGGAGUCCAGCCCCUAAAGAGAGGCCUGCAGAGAGACGGGCAGUUGCCUAGCCACGUGUAGGGAGAUUUAGCAAAGGGCCCCAAUCCUUGGUGGAGGGAGGUGUAGUAAGGGAAUUAAGGCAGAUGAUCAGGCAAAGUGUCUGGGCCUUCAGCACCAUGGAAAAAUAAGGGGCUGGGUUGCUGCCAUGCCCAGAAGGCAGGCUUAGGGUAGGAAGACUAAACAUGGACCCUCCCCUCCUGGUGAGGACCAUGCACCUGAUGUAGUCAGGGUUGGCUUGGCUCAAGGACUUGGGGAGAGUAGAGAGGCUGCAGGCCUCUAUGCUCCCUGUUGAGUGGAACAAGGGAAGAUGGAAACUGAUUAAAUCAACAGGGCACUGUCACAACUAUAGCCCCCAGGAUAGGAUGCUGUCUGUCUUAGGAAUCAUAAAACGGCUAGAACAGGCUAGGAACCAGAGAACUUUCCCAAUCACAAUUGUGUUGAAUGACUGUGAAUUUGGUGGGCUGGCAUAGAAGCCUUCAGUCAUUCUGGACAAAUGGUCACAACCAAAGCAAACUGCCAGGCAGGCAGAGCAAAGCCUUGGAGGCUCCACAGCAUAGAAAUAUAAAAGUUGGGGUAGGCUGUUUUUGAUCUUGUAGAUCUCUGUCUUAGGAAAUCAGAGGGUCCUGGGGUACAAGGAAGGACUGACACAGGCCUGGGAGCAUACUGGGAUACAAAGCAGGUCACCAAGAGGCCUUCAAGAAGAGGGACCUAGGCUAAAAUACCUAUUAUAACAAUAAGGGCCCAUGAUUGUGGGGGAGGGUGUGGCCAGAGACAAGGGAAAUUCCCAUCUUACUUAAGCUUAAAGAACUCAAGGUCAAAAUGAUAGUGAACCCAGAGGAGGGAUUGGAAGUGCUUAAAGCCUCUUUCUUUUCUGCCCUGCAUUUGUUUACAGGUCCUGAGCUGGACCUUCAUAUAGAUGAUGAUGG
rnacentral:lncRNA from 10 species